rnacentral:rRNA from 1 species
AGCGAACGCUGGCGGCAGGCUUAACACAUGCAAGUCGAACGCCCCGCAAGGGGAGUGGCAGACGGGCGAGUAACACGUGGGAACGUACCCUUUGGUUCGGAAUAACUUGGGGAAACUCAAGCUAAUACCGGAUAAGCCCUUAUGGGGAAGGGUUUACUGCCGAAGGAUCGGCCCGCGUCUGAUUAGCUAGUUGGUGGGGUAAUGGCUCACCAAGGCGACGAUCAGUAGCUGGUCUGAGAGGAUGAUCAGCCACACUGGGACUGAGACACGGCCCAGACUCCUACGGGAGGCAGCAGUGGGGAAUAUUGGACAAUGGGGGCAACCCUGAUCCAGCCAUGCCGCGUGAGUGAUGAAGGCCUUAGGGUUGUAAAGCUCUUUUACCCGGGACGAUAAUGACUGUACCGGGAGAAUAAACCCCGGCUAACUUCGUGCCAGCAGCCGCCGUAA